AGUCGAGCGGUAAGGCCCCGCAAGGGGUACACGAGCGGCGUAAGGGACAGUAAUGUGUAGGUACGUACCUCCGGGCCUGGGAUAGCUGCGGGAAACUGCAAUUAAUACCAGAUGACGUCUCCGGACCAAAGGUGUGAUUCCGCCAGGGGAGCGGCCUACAUCCUAUUAGCUAGUUGGCGGGGUAACGGCCCACCAAGGCUUAGAUGGGUAGCAGGUGUGAGAGCACGACCUGCGUCACUGGGACUGAGACACUGCCCAGACACCUACGGGUGGCUGCAGUCGAGAAUCUUCGGCAAUGAGCGCAAGCUUGACCGAGCGACGCCGCGUGCGGGAUGAAGGCCUUCGGGUUGUAAACCGCUGUCAGAGGGGACGAAGUGCCAGGGGGUUCUCUCCUUGGCUUGACCGAUCCUCAAAGGAAGGGUGGGCUAAGUUCGUGCCAGCAGCCGCGGUAAGACGUACCACCCGAACGUUAUUCGGAUUUACUGGGCUUAAAGAGUCCGUAGGCGGCCAAGAAAGUUGGAUGUGAAAUACCUCGGCCUAACCGAGGAACAGCAUUCAAAACUACUUGGCUUGAGAGAGACAGAGGUGAGCGGAACUGAUGGUGGAGCGGUGAAAUGCGUUGAUAUCAUCAGGAACACCGGUGGCGAAAGCGGCUCACUGG
rnacentral:rRNA from 1 species